GUGGGAGGAAGCUCAUCGUAGAGGUCACGUGCUGAGUGUUCAUCACUCCACCAAUCACCCUUGGGAAGGUCUGAGUCAAGAGCCAAUCGCUUCCCUAGCAGGCUAUCACCUGAAUUGGGUGAGCGAGUGAACAGAAACCGAGGGUCAAUGAGAGCAGGUAUAGCAGGAGAAGCCGGUUGGCGUCUCGUCAACGGUGGAUGCAACGCUCGACUGACUUGGAAGCGCUCGCGGCUGGCAGUUGAGUGCGAUGAAUGAGGUGGAGCACAGCUCCAGAACCCAACUCAGACUACUCUCCCCCCAC
rnacentral:RNase_P_RNA from 1 species